rnacentral:rRNA from 1 species
UACGGAGGGUGCAAGCGUUAUCCGGAUUCACUGGGUUUAAAGGGUGCGUAGGUGGGUUGGUAAGUCAGUGGUGAAAUCUCCUGGCUUAACCUGGAAACUGCCAUUGAUACUAUCAAUCUUGAAUACCUUGGAGGUGAGCGGAAUAUGUCAUGUAGCGGUGAAAUGCUUAGAUAUGACAUAGAACACCAAUUGCGAAGGCAGCUCACUACACGGUCAUUGACACUGAGGCACGAAAGCGUGGGGAAUCAAACAGGG